rnacentral:rRNA from 1 species
UACGUAGGGGCCUAGCGUUGUCCGGAUUUACUGGGCGUAAAGAGCGCGCAGGCGGUCGAUCAAGUCGAGUGUGAAAGCCCCCGGCUCAACUGGGGAGGGUCAUUCGAUACUGAUCGACUCGAAGGCAGGAGAGGGUAGUGGAAUUCCCGGUGUAGUGGUGAAAUGCGUAGAUAUCGGGAGGAACACCAGUGGCGAAGGCGACUACCUGGCCUGUUCUUGACGCUGAGGCGCGAAAGCUAGGGGAGCAAACGGG